UCGGGAAUUUUGGGCAAUGGGGGAAACCCUGACCCAGCAACGCCGCGUGAAGGAUGAAGUAUUUCGGUAUGUAAACUUCGAAAGAAUAGGAAGAAUUAAUGACGGUACUAUUUAUAAGGUCCGGCUAACUACGUGCCAGCAGCCGCGGUAAUACGUAGGGACCAAGCGUUGUUCGGAUUUACUGGGCGUAAAGGGCGCGUAGGCGGCGCGGUAAGUCACUUGUGAAAUCUCUGAGCUUAACUCAGAACGGCCAAGUGAUACUGCAGUGCUAGAGUGUGGAAGGGGCAAUCGGAAUUCUUGGUGUAGCGGUGAAAUGCGUAGAUAUCAAGAGGAACACCUGAGGUGAAGACGGGUUGCUGGGCCAACACUGACGCUGAGGCGCGAAAGCCAGGGGAGCAAACGGGAUUAGAUACCCCAGUAGUCCCUGAGCGGGCUGGCAAGGCGCAU
rnacentral:rRNA from 1 species